GACGAACGCUGGCGGCGUGCUUAACACAUGCAAGUCGAGCGGAAAGGCCCUUCGGGGUACUCGAGCGGCGAACGGGUGAGUAACACGUGAGUAAUCUGCCCUUGGCUUUGGGAUAACUACCGGAAACGGUGGCUAAUACCGGAUACGACAACCGUCUGCAUGGGCUGGUUGUGGAAAGUUUUUUCGGCCAGGGAUGUGCUCGCGGCCUAUCAGCUUGUUGGUGGGGUAAUGGCCUACCAAGGCUUCGAUGGGUAGCCGGCCUGAGAGGGUGACCGGCCACACUGGGACUGAGACACGGCCCAGACUCCUACGGGAGGCAGCAGUGGGGAAUAUUGGACAAUGGGCGGAAGCCUGAUCCAGCAACGCCGCGUGAGGGAUGACGGCCUUCGGGUUGUAAACCUCUUUCAGUACCGACGAAGCGCCGAUGAUGGUGGUGACGGUAGGUACAGAAGAAGCACCGGCCAACUACGUG
rnacentral:rRNA from 1 species